rnacentral:rRNA from 1 species
CACGUAGGGUGCGAGCGUUGUCCGGAAUUAUUGGGCGUAAAGAGCUCGUAGGCGGUGUGUCGCGUCGGCCGUGAAAACCUGCAGCUUAACUGUGGGCGUGCGGUCGAUACGGGCAUCACUGGAGUUCGGCAGGGGAGACUGGAAUUCCUGGUGUAGCGGUGAAAUGCGCAGAUAUCAGGAGGAACACCGGUGGCGAAGGCGGCAUCCUGGACCGGCAUUGACGCUGAGGAGCGAAAGCGUGGGGAGCAAACAGG